rnacentral:tRNA from 1 species
GAGGUUGUGGCUCAGCGGUAGAACACUCAUCUAGCAUAUAUAAGGCCCUGGGUUUGAUCCCCAGCACCUCA